rnacentral:lncRNA from 1 species
CACUUUCUAAAUAAAUCAGAUCAAUUUCAGAAGAUUUGAGGUCCAGAGAGAGAUUCCAUUUACACCACAAAUCAUCACACUCCAUUCUCUUGAGGACUACAUUCCCGGCUUUCCAAAGGACAUCUGUGCAACAAAUUUAUAGACUCAACUUCCAGCUUCAAGGGGUGGCGGUUUCAAUUAAGAAAAGCUAUAACGUUUACCGUCAA